rnacentral:tRNA from 1 species
GGGGUCUUAGCAUAAUCCGGUAGUGCGGCUGGCUCCAGACCAGCUGAUGGGGGUUCAAAUCCCUCAGACCCCA